rnacentral:rRNA from 1 species
CGAACGCUGGCAGCGUGCUUAACACAUGCAAGUCGAGCGAUGAAGUUUCUUCGGAAAUGGAUUAGCGGCGAACGGGUGAGGAACACGUGAAGAAUCUGCCCUCCACUUUGGGAUAACACCGGGAAACCGGUGCUAAUACCGAAUAUUGAAACAUAAGUGGCACCACUGAGUUUUGAACGAAUUUCGGUGGAGGAUGACUUCGCGGCCUAUCAGCUAGUUGGUGAGGUAAUGGCUCACCAAGGCAACGACGGGUAGCCGGCCUGAGAGGGCGACCGGCCACACUGGGACUGAGACACGGCCCAGACUCCUACGGGAGGCAGCAGUGGGGAAUAUUGGGCAAUGGAGGAAACUCUGACCCAGCGACGCCGCGUGCGGGAUGAAGGCCUUCGGUUGUAAACCGCUUUCAGUAGGAGGAAGCGAAAGUGACGGUACCGUACAAACGAAGCACCGGCUAACUAUGUGCCAGCAG